rnacentral:rRNA from 1 species
UACGGAGGGUGCGAGCGUUGUCCGGAAUCAUUGGGCGUAAAGCGCACGUAGGCGGCUUGCCAAGUCGGACGUGAAAUCCCUCAGCUCAACUGAGGACGUGCAUCCGAAACUGGCGAGCUUGAGUACUGAAGAGGAUCGCGGAAUUCCCGGUGUAGAGGUGAAAUUCGUAGAUAUCGGGAGGAACACCAGUGGCGAAGGCGGCGAUCUGGGCAGAUACUGACGCUGAGGUGCGAAAGCGUGGGGAGCAAACAGG